rnacentral:rRNA from 1 species
AUUGAACGCUGGCGGCAGGCCUAACACAUGCAAGUCGAGCGGAUGACGGGAGCUUGCUCCUUGAUUCAGCGGCGGACGGGAGAGUAAUGCCUAGGAAUCUGCCUGGUAGUGGGGGACAACGUUUCGAAAGGAACGCUAAUACCGCAUACGUCCUACGGGAGAAAGCAGGGGACCUUCGGGCCUUGCGCUAUCAGAUGAGCCUAGGUCGGAUUAGCUAGUAGGUGGGGUAAUGGCUCACCUAGGCGACGAUCCGGAACUGGUCUGAGAGGAUGAUCAGUCACACUGGAACUGAGACACGGUCCAGACUCCUGCGGGAGGCAGAAGUGGGGAAUAUUGGACAAUGGGCGAAAGCCUGAUCCAGCCAUGCCGCGUGUGUGAAGAAGGUCUUCGGAUUGUAAAGCACUUUAAGUUGGGAGGAAGGGCAGUAAGUUAAUACCUUGCUGUUUUGACGUUACCGACAGAAUAAGCACCGGCUAACUCUGUGCCAGCAGCCGCCGUAA